rfam:Triticum aestivum genome assembly, contig: Triticum_aestivum_CS42_TGACv1_scaffold_544086_6DS
CAGGUACUCCCUCCGUUCGAAAUUAUUUAUCGCAGAAAUGGAUGUAUCUAGACGUAUUUUAGUUUUAGAUACAUCCAUUUUCAAGACAAGUAAUUCCGAACGAAGGAAGUAGCAU